rnacentral:rRNA from 1 species
CCAAGGAGUCUAACAUGUGCGCGAGUCAUUGGGACACGCAAACCUAAAGGCGAAAUGAAAGUGAAGGUCUGCCUAGCGCUGACCGAGGGAGGAUGGGCCGCGUCACGAUGCGGUCCCGCACUCCCGGGGCGUCUCGUUCUCAUUACGAGAAGAGGCGCACCCAGAGCGUACACGUUGGGACCCGAAAGAUGGUGAACUAUGCCUGGUCAGGACGAAGUCAGGGGAAACCCUGAUGGAGGUCCGUAGCGAUUCUGACGUGCAAAUCGAUCGUCGGAACUGGGUAUAGGGGCGAAAGACUAAUCGAACCAUCUAGUAGCUGGUUCCCUCCGAAGUUUCCCUCAGGAUAGCUGGCACUCGCGUACAAAACGUACACGAGUCUCAUCCGGUAAAGCGAAUGAUUAGAGGCCUUGGGGCCGAAACGACCUCAACCUAUUCUCAAACUUUAAAUGGGUGAGAUCUCUGGCUUGCUUGAACUAUGAAGCCACGAGAUUUCGGAUCAGAGUGCCAAGUGGGCCACUUUU